UACAGGCACCACAAGGAAGACUUUCACUCCAGCAAGUCACUACAGCAUUGGAUGAGAUGAAUGAUUUAUUUGUGAAGUUUCGACGUUGCCCAGCAGUGAAUGCCUCAGAGCCUUUUAUAUUGAUGGCUUCUGAAAGCCAGAGAGAUGCGACGGACCUACUCAAAGCUGUGUAGCUGUUUGAAAUCCUGUGGUCAGCCAGGGGGGAAAUGACCUUCAUCCAGUACAGGUGAAGGGCACUGUGGGAGACUGGUGUUGGUCAGACAUAAGUGAACACCUGCUGUUUACUUCAGCUGAAAGCCAGCAUGUGUUGUGCGCAAAAACUAGAAUAAUGCUUUGAAUUUUGCUCAGCAGUCAGGAAGAAUAUUUUGUUGUAUUGUAUUUCCUAUACAUGUAAGAAAUUAUAUAUGAUAUUUACUAAACAUGAUGCUACUGUGAACAUCUAAAAAUAAUGCCACUGUUGACUCAUGCUUUGGGCGACAAACUUUUUAUCCAUAUUUGACUUUUUCAGUAAAUUAAAUUUUAAUUAUUUUUGUAA